UGUUGGGAGUCUUAAUGCUUGGAGGUUGCUCUCAGUUUCUGACAUGUUACCAGCAAGCAUGUUUUGAUGAACUUGAAUGCACUUCCUCCAAAAUACAGUUUGCUUGAUAUACCACUACUGUGAGGCAUUGAUGUACAAGAGCCCAGGCAGCUCUAAACACACAGGCCUUGUAUAGAGCUUUCACUGUGGCAAAAUAACAAGUACUAGAAGUGAAAUUAUUGCAGAACUGUAGGCCCCUUUUGAGCAUUUUUGUUGAAACUGUGCCCUAGGAUUAUAGGUAAAGGUAAAGGUUUCCCCUGACGUUAAGUCCAGUCAUGUCUGACUCUGGGGGUUGGUGCUCAUCUCAAUUUCUAAGCCGAAGAGCCGGCGUUGUCCGUAUACACCUCCAAGGUCAUGUGGCCGGCAUGACUGCAUGGAGCGCCGUUACAGCUUCCUGGAAUUAUAUCCAUUCAGUCUAAAGAAUGGUUCUGGAUAGCAGACCUAUUUUUUAGAUUACCUGGUGAGCAUAAUGCUUUGCAAAAGAACGAGUUCCAAGCAGUACCAUAGACUAGAGCCCAGCAGUCAAGCACCAGCAUCUCCAGCUAAGGAUCUCGAAAGGUAGGAGGUGAUUGUAGGAAAGAUCACUUUCUGAGAUCUGGGAGUGCUGCUGUCAGGAGCAUGAGCCCUGCCAUAUUUAUUCUCCCUGUUUAUUUAUUUAUUUAUUGUUUAUUUAUUUACAGUAUUUAUUCUCCAUUUGUUGCAUGUAGCUACUGGUAUUGGCUGUGCAUCAUGUGCAUUGGAUGAUGGGUGUUAUUAUGUUUCAACCAAGCUGGUAUUUUUUGCAUAUUGGGGCUGCUGGGAAAUACCAUGAGAACCACUGGUAAUGAGAGAUUGUGGUCCACCACAAUUCUUACCUUUACAGUUGAUGGAAGUUACCACCUUACAUCAUUUUAAAGAGGAAAACAAUGCCUAAGGGAGUACAAUUUCCCCAUGGGAUUUAUGUACAUGUGCAGGCAAAGAGUUGGAUGGACUUAGAAUUCAUGUUGGAUUGGAUUAAACUGUGUAGAACAGAAUAUGAGGUGCACUUAGGAAAAAGCCAGCUUUGCUUGAUUUUGGGCAGUUUCUGAAGUCGCAUUGUCAAGGAAGUGAAGUAACUUCUCUGUGACAAUAAGACACAGAGAUAGUGCUGUCUUGCAGCCACUGGAUGUAUCGGUGAACAAGCCCUUUAAAAGUCACUUGCACCAUUUGUACUUGUAUAAUGAGUGGAUUUUUUUUCCGUGUCAGGAGCAACUUGAGUCACUUCUGGAGUGAGAGAAUUGGCCGUCUACAAGGACGUUGCCCAGGGGACGCCCGGAUGUUUUGAUGUUUUUACCAUCCUUGUGGGAGGCUUCUCUCAUGUCCCUGCAUGGAGCUGGAGAUGAUAGAGGGAGCUCAUCCACCCUCUCCCGAGUGGGAUUCAAACCUGGCAGCUUUCAGGAUUUGCACUUCGCCCUUUUCACCCUGAAGGGGGCUCAGAACGGCUUAUAGAAUACACAUACAGCAAACAUUCAAUGCCGAUUAUACAAUUAACAAGGACAGACAACACAAACAGAGGAUGAUCAGAAGAUGAUGCACUAUGGGAGAGUGAUGAGGAGGAAAAAAACAUCUGUUGCGAGCAGUGCUGAGGACAGCACAUCAGAGAAUGACAGCGAUGAUGGUGGCAUGAAGCCUUCCAGGACGGAAAAUUAAAAUGUUUAACUUUGUAAUUUUUUUUCUGGACACUUGUAUAUGUUCUCAAGUUGUUUUCAACAUCAUUUUAUUAAAAAGUUACUGUUUUGAAACAAAUAAAGACUUCCCCCCUCACAUAAUAGUCGCACCUACUUUUCUCAAAAAAAAAAAAGGGGGGGGGGAAUAAGUGCUACUAUUAUGCAAUGAGAUAUGAUAUUUGUUGUUCGCCACAUUAAUCCAUCCCUCCACUAUAGCACUAUGGCUGCCCCUAGGAAUCAUUGGCCUCUGUUACCUUGUACAAGUGAAGUUUCACAUUGAACACUGACCACACUGGGAGAAGAUAGAAGAGAAGUCAAAGAGGAAGCAGCAGCAAUGGUCUCGCUCUUCUAAAAGCCUUCAACUGACUUGAUAAUAAUUCUUUCUUUCUUUCUUUCUUUCUCUUUCUUUCUUUCUUUCUUUCUUUCUUUCUUUCUUUCUUUCUUUCUUUCUUUCUUUCUUUCUUAGAAUCAUAGAAUAGUAGAGUUGGAAGAGACCUCAUGGGCCAUCCAGUCCAACCCCCCUCGCUAAGAAGCAGGAAAUCGCAUUCAAAGCACCCCCGACAGAUGGCCAUCCAGCCUCUGCUUAAAAGCCUCCAAAGAAGGAGCCUCCACCUUUCUUUCUUUCUUUCUUUCUUUCUUUCUUUCUUUCUUUCUUUCUUUCUUUCUUUCUUUCUUUC